rnacentral:rRNA from 1 species
UUGACCUCGGAUCAGGUAGGGAUACCCCCUGAACUUAAC